rnacentral:rRNA from 1 species
GACGAACGCUGGCGGCGUGCUUAACACAUGCAAGUCGAACGGAAAGGCCCUGCUUUUGUGGGUUGCUCGAGUGGCGAACGGGUGAGUAACACGUGAGUAACCUGCCCUUGACUUUGGGAUAACUUCAGGAAACUGGGGCUAAUAUCGGAUAGGAUCUCCUGCUGCAUGGUGGGGGUUGGAAAGUUUCGGCGGUUGGGGAUGGUCUCGCGGCUUAUCAGCUUGUUGGUGGGGUAGUGGCUUACCAAGGCUUUGACGGGUAGCCGGCCUGAGAGGGUGACCGGCCACAUUGGGACUGAGAUACGGCCCAGACUCCUACGGGAGGCAGCAGUGGGGAAUAUUGCACAAUGGGCGGAAGCCUGAUGCAGCAACGCCGCGUGCGGGAUGACGGCCUUCGGGUUGUAAACCGCUUUCGCCUGUGACGAAGCGUGAGUGACGGUAAUGGGUAAAGAAGCACCGGCUAACUACGUG